rnacentral:rRNA from 1 species
GAUGAACGCUGGCGGCGUGCCUAAUACAUGCAAGUCGAGCGAACAGACGAGGAGCUUGCUCCUCUGACGUUAGCGGCGGACGGGUGAGUAACACGUGGAUAACCUACCUAUAAGACUGGGAUAACUUCGGGACACCGGAGCUAAUCCCGGAUAAUAUAUUGAACCGCAUGGUUCAAUAGUGAAAGACGGUUUUGCUGUCACUUAUAGAUGGAUCCGCGCCGCAUUAGCUAGUUGGUAAGGUAACGGCUUACCAAGGCAACGAUGCGUAGCCGACCUGAGAGGGUGAUCGGCCACACUGGAACUGAGACACGGUCCAGACGCCUACGGGAGGCAGCAGUAGGGAAUCUUCCGGAAUGGGCGAAAGCCUGACGGAGCAACGCCGCGUGAGUGAGGAAGGUCUUCGGAUCGUAAAACUCUGUUAUUAGGGAAGAACAAAUGUGUAAGUAACUAUGCACGUCUUGACGGUACCUAAGCAGAAAGGCACGGCUAACUUCGUG